AUCUAAUAUAAAAAAUGUUGAAAUUAAAAACAUGAGCUAACUAUUUUAAAUAUUAUUCUUUUGAUCCAAAUAUAUUCGUUGAAUUUUGAAAAUUUUCGAUGAGAAUGGAAACGCAGAUGGAGGAGGGUUCCCAUUAGAGAAGCAGGAUAAGCGGCCCCGAAAACGACUUCGUUCAACAUGGGACAUGUCUCCUGUCCCUCCUCCUGAUCAUUCCAAGCCCCAAGGUCUUAUUUUAUAUAGGAAUUUUCACAGUUCUCUUGCAUUUACAUAAAAGUGCAAUUUCUAUUAAGUUAGGGCUUUUAAUUGGAUGUUUGAUAUAUUGCACUAUUAACUUGUUAGUGAAAUUUGUUUACUUGCUAGUUGCUACGUUGGACUUAUUCUGGAUAACAUGUCCCCCUCAUCUGAAUUUCUUUACUUGUUUUCAGUUCAAGGUACUUGGUUCUCAGAUACUUUGUGUCUCUUCUGCUGUUUUCAUUAGAUUUGUUUUUUAACGAUGAAGAAGUUGUAUACUGGCUUGAUUUUGUUUUCCCAUGGGCCAUAUAAAUAUAUUUGGGGGAGGAAUAACAUGUUGAACUAUUUGAUAUCUAUGUUUUGUUUGAUUUGUGUACAUUUAUGAGAAAUUUUGAACAUUUUUUGUACCAAGUAAUGCAAGAACACUCAUCAUGUAGCAUAAUUGACUGAAGUGUUGAGAUAUUGAAGGGAUGGAAGUGAAGCUAAUAAGAUAAAAAUGUUUGUUGUAGUUUCACACUGUGAUCGUAGUGAUUUCCCUCAUAUGGAAUAACUCUAUGGUUAUUGUGCAGUCGCGUGUAGAUUGAAUAUUGUUUCUUCUGCAGAUCCUUCCAACAAUAUAUCAGGGGAAAGAAAUUAACUCCUCGUUGUAUGUGAACUUGAAAUACUUAAGGGUGUUCUUAGGGAGUGCCUCAAGUGGUAUUCCGAUUGUUUCCUAUGUAGGAAUUCCUUUAGAGUAACCUCAUUGAAUUCCUUUUUUUCCCGCUUUCAUCUUUUUUGGGGGGUGAAAAUGCUUACUUUUUGAUGCUAACUCUUAAGUUAAUUUGUAAUGCUUAUGUACAAGAGGGGAACGACCUGAAACAAGCAAGACCGGUACCUGUCAGUAUUGAAGAACAAAGUCUGCCGUCCAAAAUUUUCAGUUUGGAAAUCGGUUUUUCAUUACCUGUCAGUAAUGAGAACAUCUCCUUUUACUUUAAGAAACAUCCUAUAUAAAAAUCAAUAGAGAGCAGGUUAAGGCACACGUCCUUGUUUUCGUUCAACAAUUGUACGGAUAACUGGGUUCAGGAUAUAUGUUGGAAUUCACGUAAGGUUGUUUUUAUGCUGUCCUAUCUGUGCACAAUACACAUUUUUAUGUCUGUGUGGAUUUAAUGCUCAUUUGUUUGAUUAUCUUAUGCAUAUAGUGUUUUUAUAUGACUAAAGGUAUUAUUUGGUUUUACCUCCUUGGGCUCUAUUUAGUUCCUUUUUUCCUUAAUUGACAGAUAGAAUACUCAGCAAAAUGUUGCAGGGGUUUUUGGGAAAGUCCUUGAAUGUUUGGCCAAUGAAAAGAAAGAGAUUAUUGCAAUUAUAUGAAAGUACAGGAAGUUGCCAUGAUUGAGAUUGGUGUUUUAGAGAAGCUUACAAGGCAUGAUGCUUGUGGGACACGGUAGGUCUCUGCUUUCAGCUUGGCUUAAUUUGUAAGCUAGAAGAAAAACUUGAAGUUGUUUUGGUAUAAGUGGUUUCAUUCUUUGCAGUUGUGUGCAAAUACCGAACUGGUUUGACUAUCGUAAUCAUAUUUGUAUCGUAAGUAUUUAAUAUAAUUCAUGGUUUCCUUAAAUUUUUAAGGGCUUUGGUGUUACCUCUUGCUCAAUUAUUGUGCAAGCUAAAAAGUUGCAGACUGAUUUAAAUGGUCUUAACAGGUUUCUGAGAAGCUUGGUCCAAGCUUAUACGUUUUUUUACGCAAAAACAGCUAUCUUUCAUUUCCCAUUGAUCUUGUUCGGGAGUUUGACAGACAAUUUUUCGAAUCUGUGGCAUGUGUGUGGACAUAUCUUUGCACAUCUAUAUUGCUUUUAUCAAUUCUUGGAUUUAUCAAAAAUGAUAUCUAUUAGGCAUCAGUUGGCGUUUA
rnacentral:lncRNA from 1 species